rnacentral:lncRNA from 1 species
UCCACAAUCUCCCCCUUUUUCGUAUGAUGACAAAACUUUGAGUAUAUGUAAAAUGAGUUGCUCAGUAAAUAAUGAAAUAAACUCCAUAAAUGAAUUCAAAUGUCUGAUAAUUUAAUUUAUCCAAGUUUGAAAGGAGUGAAACAUUAAAUUUCGGAGUUAAAGUUCCCCCUUUCAUUUGGAAUUAUAUAAGUCUUCAUAUUCUGCAAUCAAUUGUUUGGCUUAUAUGACAUUAAUGUUUUAGCUUGAUUAAAAUUCAGAUUCUUCCCCUCAACAUAUGCAUUCAACUAUGUUUUGAUUUUCUGAAUUUUCUUUUAAUGCUUUGAAAUUUUUGAACUAAAAUUUUUGUUUUUAGAGGAAAAAUCUGUCAAUUUGUUCUUGAGUAGGAUUCAGCUAAUCUCCGAAUAUCCCUUGAAUAGAUUCUGGAGAUUACUCCAUUAGGAGUCCCAAAAGAGAGAUAAUGAGCCUCGAGGUACCGAAUCCACUUAGAACAAAUUUAUGUGUGUUUUUAAGAGUUUUAUCGUUUUAUUUAUUU